rnacentral:misc_RNA from 1 species
ACAAUUGUCAAAAUUUAUCCACAAAAAUUAUGAGAGAAAGAGGAGGCAGGAGAAAAUGGCUAGGGUUGCUUAGUUAAAUGACGUUAAAAAUCUAUGAAAUAAAAAAAAGGAGCUGAUGCAGGGAUUGAAUACAGAGGUCUUGUAAAACACAGAUAACACUUUCUACAAGCGAUAUAGUUGUAAAAUGAAUUUGCAAAUGUAAUUUAUAUGAGUUCUGUUUUCCUAAAUUUCCCAUUCAAAACCAAGCUAAAUACCCAAACUUUUUAACAUUUCAAACCAAACCAAAUCGAUUUUUCAAAAAAACCAAACUGAAUUUUCAAAUUAAAUCGGUUCAGUUAAGUUUUUUUCAAGGAGUCGUAUGCGUCUAAGAUA